AGGGUAAUAGCUCAGUGGUAGAGAGCAUGCUUAGCAUGCACGAGGUCCUGGGUUCAAUCUCCAGUACCUCCA
rnacentral:tRNA from 1 species